rnacentral:rRNA from 1 species
UACGUAGGUGGCAAGCGUUGUCCGGAAUUAUUGGGCGUAAAGCGCGCGUAGGUGGUUUCUUAAGUCUGAUGUGAAAGCCCACGGCUCAACCGUGGAGGGUCAUUGGAAACUGGGGAACUUGAGUGCAGAAGAGGAAAGUGGAAUUCCAAGUGUAGCGGUGAAAUGCGUAGAGAUUUGGAGGAACACCAGUGGCGAAGGCGACUUUCUGGUCUGUAACUGACACUGAGGCGCGAAAGCGUGGGGAGCGAACAGG